ACGGGAGGCAGCAGUGGGGAAUAUUAGGCAAUGGGGGGAACCCUGACCCAGCAACGCCGCGUGAAGGAUGAAGGUUUUCGGAUUGUAAACUUCUUUGGCAGGGGACGAUAAUGACGGUACCCUGAGAACAAGCCACGGCUAACUACGUGCCAGCAGCCGCGGUAAUACGUAGGUGGCGAGCGUUGUCCGGAUUUACUGGGUGUAAAGGGCGAGUAGGCGGGAAUGCAAGUCAGAUGUGAAAUACCGAGGCUUAACCUCGGAGCUGCAUUUGAAACUGCAUUUCUUGAGUGAUGGAGAGGCAGGCGGAAUUCCCGGUGUAGCGGUGAAAUGCAUAGAGAUCGGGAGGAACACCAGUGGCGAAGGCGGCCUGCUGGACAUUAACUGACGCUGAGGCACGAAGGUGCGGGGAUCAAACAGGAUUAGAUACCCUGGUA
rnacentral:rRNA from 1 species